AUCAUAUUAUACCUACACUAACAUGGCUAUCCUAGCAUUGUUAAGCGCCAAUUACCUAUCUCUACUCUGACAAUAUGACCGUUUAGUCAAGCUUGAUAUAAAUAUAUAGAAAAUGUGCAAUUUUUUUCAUGCCACUGCCUAACUUUUGCAAAUCUUGAAACACGCUGUUGUGGCGUAUGUUUAUUCCUUGUACCUACCUGCACAACAAAAAUAAAAAAUUAAAAUUAAAAAAAUAUUGGGACAUCGACACAAUUUUAAUCUUUUUGGCUCU